rnacentral:tRNA from 1 species
AGACAGGUGUCUGAGUGGUUGAAAGAGCUCGCCUGGAACGCGGGUAUGGUUAACGCCAUCGAGGGUUCGAAUCCCUUCCUGUCUGCCA